rnacentral:rRNA from 1 species
UGCGUGCUUAACACAUGCAAGUCGAACGCUGAAGCCUGGUGCUUGCACCGGGUGGAUGAGUGGCGAACGGGUGAGUAACACGUGAGUAACCUGCCCCUGACUUCGGGAUAAGCCCGGGAAACUGGGUCUAAUACCGGAUACGACUGCCGGACGCAUGUCUGGUGGUGGAAAGUUUUUUCGGUUGGGGAUGGGCUCGCGGCCUAUCAGUUUGUUGGUGAGGUAAUGGCUCACCAAGACGACGACGGGUAGCCGGCCUGAGAGGGCGACCGGCCACACUGGGACUGAGACACGGCCCAGACUCCUACGGGAGGCAGCAGUGGGGAAUAUUGCACAAUGGGGGAAACCCUGAUGCAGCGACGCAGCGUGCGGGAUGACGGCCUUCGGGUUGUAAACCGCUUUCAGCAGGGAAGAAGCGCAAGUGACGGUACCUGCAGAAGAAGUACCGGCUAACUACGUGCCAGCAGCCGCGGUAAUACGUAGGGUACGAGCGUUGUCCGGAAUUAUUGGGCGUAAAGAGCUCGUAGGUGGUUGGUCACGUCUGCUGUGGAAACGCAACGCUUAACGUUGCGCGUGCAGUGGGUACGGGCUGACUAGAGUGCAGUAGGGGAGUCUGGAAUUCCUGGUGUAGCGGUGAAAUGCGCAGAUAUCAGGAGGAACACCGGUGGCGAAGGCGGGACUCUGGGCUGUAACUGACACUGAGGAGCGAAAGCAUGGGGAGCGAACAGGAUUAGAUACCCUGGUAGUCCAUGCCGUAAGGGACGAUUGGGCACUAGGUGUGGGGGGCAUUCCACGUUCUCCGCGCCGUAGCUAACGCAUUAAGUGCCCCGCCUGGGGACGUACGGUCGCAAGGCUAAAACUCAAAGGAAUUGACGGGGGCCCGCACAAGCGGCGGAGCAUGCGGAUUAAUUCGAUGCAACGCGAAGAACCUUACCAAGGCUUGACAUACACCGGACCGUCCUGGAAACAGGUCCUCUUCUUUGAAGCUGGUGUACAGGUGGUGCAUGGUUGUCGUCAGCUCGUGUCGUGAGAUGUUGGGUUAAGUCCCGCAACGAGCGCAACCCUCGUUCUAUGUUGCCAGCACGUGAUGGUGGGAACUCAUAGGAGACUGCCGGGGUCAACUCGGAGGAAGGUGGGGAUGACGUCAAAUCAUCAUGCCCUUUAUGUCUUGGGCUUCACGCAUGCUACAAUGGCUGGUACAGAGAGAGGCGAACCCGUGAGGGCAAGCGAAUCCCUUAAAGCCAGUCUCAGUUCGGAUCGUAGUCUGCAAUUCGACUACGUGAAGUCGGAGUCGCUAGUAAUCGCAGAUCAGCAACGCUGCGGUGAAUACGUUCCCGGGCCUUGUACACACCGCCCGUCAAGUCACGAAAGUCGGUAACACCCGAAGCCGGUGGCCUAACCGUAAGGAGGGGGCCGUCUAAGGUGGGACUGGUGAUUGGGACUAAGUCGUACGG